rfam:Brassica napus, WGS project CCCW01000000 data, contig: 22666
UGGUAUAUGGUGAUGAUACAAUUAUGUUGUGGACUAGAGUUUCAGAUCUGGGCACUUCACCCAGAAGUUGAAGAGUAACCCUUGGCUGUCUGAGUAUACCC